rnacentral:rRNA from 1 species
CGGUUAAAAAGCUCGUAGUUGGAUCUCGGCAAGUAGAGGGCGGUAUGCUUCGUAGCAUUACUGCCCUAUUACUUGUAGUUUUGCCAGAGGUUCCUGGGUGCUCUUAAUCGAGUGUCUAGGGAUGCUGGCAGGUUUACUUUGAAAAAAUUAGAGUGCUCAAAGCAGGCUAUUACGCUUGAAUAUUCGUGCAUGGAAUAAUAGAAUAGGAAGUUGUUUCUAUUUUGUUGGUUUUCGGAAAUCGACUUAAUGAUUAAUAGGGACAGUCGGGGGCAUUUGUAUCCAAACGACAGAGGUGAAAUUCUUGGACCGUUUGAAGACAAACUACUGCGAAAGCAUUUGCCAAGAAUGUUUUCAUUAAUCAAGAACGAAAGUUAGAGGUUCGAAGGCGAUUAGAUACCGCCCUAGUUCUAACCAUAAACGAUGCCAGCUAGCGAUCUGAGGACGUUUUUUUUGUAGACUCCUCAGGAAGCUUCCGGGAAACCAAAGUGUGUGGGUUCCGGGGGAAGUAUGGUUGCAAAGCUGAAACUUAAAGGAAUUGACGGAAGGGCACCACCAUGAGUGGAGCCUGCGGCUUAAUUUGACUCAACACGGGAAAUCUCACCAGGCCCGGACACUGGAAGGAUUGACAGAUUGAGAGCUCUUUCUC